CACGUACUGAGAUGAUUCGGAGAUUGCUUCAGACAGGUGGCACACGUAUCGAAGUAGCGAUUGGACCGUGUCUCUGAAGCAAUGGCUGAAUAUUCACGUGUAAAGUCAACUAAAUUGGUAUUGAAGGGCAUGAAUAAAGGGACAAAGAAGAAGCACAAAGACAAAAGGCGAAAGCUGACAGAUGAA